rnacentral:rRNA from 1 species
GACGAGCCACACAAACGUUAUUCGGAAUUACUGGGCUUAAAGGGUGCGUAGGCUGCGCGGAAAGUGGGGUGUGAAAGCCCUCGGCUCAACCGAGGAAUUGCGCUCCAUACUACCGUGCUCGAGGAAGAUAGAGGUUAGCGGAACUUCGGGUGGAGCGGUGAAAUGCGUAGAUAUCUGGAGGAACACCGGUGGCGAAGGCGGCAUCCUGGACCAACACUGACGCUGAGUGAGCGAAAGCCAGGGGAGCAAACGGG